rnacentral:other from 1 species
GAUACUCUACGGGAAGCGCAUUCAGCUCAUUUAAUUCAACCGACAAAGAAGAUCCGGGGGACAGCGUAGGUGAGGAUAACAGGCCUGCCUGGCAGGAAGUUAGCAAUCAUCUAUCAGUCCACCCACCUAACGAUGGGGCGGGUCUGAAUUAAUGGGUCACGCCCCUGUGGAGCUUUU